rnacentral:lncRNA from 13 species
CUCACAUGUGGAACAGGCUUUUCACAUCAUCAGAAAAAACGCUGUCUAAUGGCUAUGCCAAUAACGUGUGAGAUAAGAGGAUAUUGUCCUCCAUGUCAGGCUGUCUUUCUUAGCAACUUCCUGGAAAGUUACAAACAUUUAUACCUUCAAAUAAGAAGUCCAUCCUUAAAUAAUUGGCUGAGGUCACACCACUGGAGUCAAACAGUUGCAACCUGUCUGAGAGUCAUGAGGAAAUCAGGCAAGAGGAAACGGUGUCGCCUUCUAAGUCCACUCAGGCAGUAGAGGAGGGGAGAAAGAAGAUAAAUGUGCUCAAAAGAAAGUCUGCGAGACAGAUACAUGAGAGAAGCUCCCUGAGGCAGCGCAGAA